rnacentral:rRNA from 1 species
UGGGGAAUAUUGCACAAUGGGGGAAACCCUGAUGCAGCGACGCCGCGUGAGCGAAGAAGGCCUUCGGGUCGUAAAGCUCUUUUAUGAGGGAAGAUAUGACGGUACCUCAAGAAAAAGCCCCGGCUAACUACGUGCCAGCAGCCGCGGUAAUACGUAGGGGGCUAGCGUUGUUCGGAAUCACUGGGCGUAAAGGGUUCGCAGGCGGAAUAACAAGUCAGAUGUGAAAGGCAUGGGCUCAACCCAUGUAAGCAUUUGAAACUGUAAUUCUUGAGAAGUGGAGAGGUAAGUGGAAUUCCUAGUGUAGCGGUGAAAUGCGUAGAUAUUAGGAGGAAUACCUGUGGCGAAGGCGACUUACUGGACACAAAUCUGACGCUGAGGAACGAAAGCGUGGGUAGCAAACAGG